ACUUUUGACGGUGGAUCUCUUGGCCCACGCAUCGAUGAAGAACGCAGCCAGCUGCGAUAAGUAGUGUGAAUUGCAGAAUUCAGUGAAUCAUCGAAUCUUUGAACGCAAAUGGCGCUCUUGGGUUCUCCCAGGAGCAUGUCUGUCUGAGUGUCGGAUAU
rnacentral:rRNA from 1 species